GUGCUCGCUUCGGCAGCACAUAUACUAAAAUUGGAACGAUACAGAGAAGAUUAGCGUGGCCCCCGCACAAGGAUGACACGCAAAUUCGUGAAGCGUUCCAUACUUUU
rnacentral:snRNA from 1 species